CCGAAUAAAAAUCAAACAUUUUAUUAAGAAUAAAACUAAUAAAACUAGACAUAAUCAUAAUAAAAAAUAAAGCAUAAUGAUUACAAUACAACAAUAUUAGUCGAGUCGAACGAAACUGAAAUCUAAGGACAUGGCUAAAAACGAAUAAGAAACAAUAAAAAGUAAUCUAAACUACAAAUCUUACUAAACAAGAUGAAAUGGCCGGAUUGCAAUCUUCCAAUCUUCGAAAAUCACCGGAAUUCAUCAGAAACAAAGUCUUCUCCUUUUUCCACGUCAUCAUAACCCAACCUGUAGCAACCCUCAACAGUAGUAGUAGUAGUAGUACGCCACCUUGAAGUUAUUUGCAACUGAAGUUAGGCAUCAAUGUAACAACGGCUUUGAAGAAAAAUUAAUUAUUAUAAGAUUCUUUGCAUUAAUAAAAAAGUACAAAAAUAAGUAUUCAUAAAAAUUUUUAUGUAGUUGAUGACAAAAAUUCAAGCAAAAAUGCAAACCUCCAUGACAAACUUUCAGUUUCAAAAUCUAGAACCAGAAAUUGAUAAUUGUAAGAAUAUGUAAACCUCCAUGACAAACUUUCACAGAAAUCGUUACCUAAAUAACAAAAAAUGACCAAUAAAAGAUAUUUUGUUAUUAACACCGUAAUCUAACAAUAAUUUUUUUUCCAAAAAAUCCAUGGAUAUGCUUCUUUCAUCGGUACUGUUAACGGAAACAUCUCGACGUUCCCAUCACCACCUUCCUCCGCUCGAUUUGUCCGUAACAAUGGAAGAUAUGGCAACGGCCGGAGUAGAAGCAAUCUUUGACCAGUAUUGAGAUGUAGACGGAUCGAGUAAUGAGAAAAAGCAUACAGGCGAAGGUGAUCUGUGGUUGUACGAGGGCGGUGGAGUGUAAAAAUCAAAUCAAUUUAGAGAGAAAAAAGUGGGUGGUGGUGGAAGGAUCAGGAAACAAAAACUUGAUUGGACGUUAGGGGAGGUUACAAACAUCUUAGGCAAAGUACUAUAAAGAUUUGUGGCCAAAUUCAGAAAGUGAAAAGUUUCCUGUUCCUUCAUACCACGGGAAUUAAUAAAUAAAAAUAAAAAUAAAUAUAAUAUUACGG
rnacentral:lncRNA from 1 species